CAAANCUUAAUCNANCCACUAAUUAAUCCCAACAUUACUUAAGAACCCUUACAUAGUACUGAGUAAUUCUAUAUCACUAUAGAAGACUUUAUGUUAAAACUAGUAAUAAGAAGAAGAACUUCUCUUACAUGCAAGUGUAAAUCAGAUAGGACACUCCACUGAUAAUUAACACCAAUGAACAAAAAGUAGUAACUCAACAAGAAAACUCUACUACAUUUUAUGUUAAUCUAACACCAGAGCAUUACAAGAAAGAUUAAAAGAAAGAGAAGGAACUCGGCAAAUAUUAACCUCGCCUGUUUACCAAAAACAUCGCCUCUUGAAAUAAAUAUAAGAGGUCCAGCCUGCCCAGUGACUCUGUUCAACGGCCGCGGU
rnacentral:rRNA from 1 species